rnacentral:pre_miRNA from 1 species
AGUGGGAUUGCUAGGUCAUUUGGUAAGUCUACUUUUAACUUUAUAAGAAACUACCAAACUGUUUUGCAGAGUGGCUGUACCAUUCUGCAUUCCCACCAGCAAU